rnacentral:rRNA from 1 species
GACGAACGCUGGCGGCGUGCUUAACACAUGCAAGUCGAACGAAGCGGCGAACGGGUGAGUAACGCGUAAUCACCCUGACCUUCAGAGGGGGACAACAGUUGGAAACGACUGCUAAUACCCUAUACUCACGGAGGUGAUUGAGUCUGAUUGGCUAGUUGGAGGGGUAACGGCCCACCAAGGCGAUGAUCAGGCGCCGGUAUGAGAUGAUGAACGGCCACAUUGGGACUGGGACACGGCCCAGACUCCUACGGGAGGCAGCAGUGGGGAAUCUUCCGCAAUGGACGAAAGUCUGACGGAGCAACGCCGCGUGAGUGAUGACGGCCUUCGGGUUGUAAAGCUCUGUUAAUCGGGACGCGGUACCGGAAUAGAAAGCCACGGCUAACUACGUGCCAGCAGCCGCGGUAAUUC